rnacentral:rRNA from 1 species
AUUGAACGCUGGCGGCGUGCUUAACACAUGCAAGUCGAUCGGUAACGCGGGGGCAACCCUGGCGACGAGAGGCGGACGGGUGAGGAACGCUUGGGAAUCUGCCUAUCAGCGGGGGACAACCCGGGGAAACUCGGGCUAAUACCGCAUACGCUCUACGGAGGAAAGCCGGGGACCGCAAGGCCUGGCACUGAUAGAUGAGCCCAAGUCGGAUUAGCUAGUUGGCGGGGUAACGGCCCACCAAGGCGACGAUCCGUAGCUGGUCUGAGAGGACGAACAGCCAAACUGGGACGGAGCCACGGCCCAGACUCCUACGGGAGGCAGCAGUGGAGAAUAUUGGACAAUGGGGGAAGCCCUGAUUCAGCGACGCCGCGUGGGUGAAGAAGGCCUGCGGGUUGUAAAGCCCUUUCGGUAGGGACGAAAGCUCUCGACCUAACACGUCGGGAGGUUGACUUAACCUACAAAAGAAGCACCGGCUAACUCUGUGCCAGCCGCCGCCGUAAGAC